rnacentral:tRNA from 1 species
UGCGAUUGUGUCGAUGGUAGAGCACUCGGCUGUUAACCGAGGGGUUGUUGGUUCGAGCCCAACUCGGGG